CUGGAGAGUUUGAUGGUGGCUCAGGGCGAACGCUGGCGGCGUGGAUAAGGCAUGCAAGUCGAGCGCAGGCUUGCCUGUGGGUUCUGCCUACAGGCAGGUGCUGAGCGGCGAACGGGCGAGUAACGCGUGCCUAACCUACCCUGGAGACUGGGAUAACCCUGGGAAACUGGGGCUAAUACCGGAUACGCUCCCUCGUCGCAUGGCGGGGGAGGAAAGGUGUCCGUUCCGAAAGGGCGGAUGCCGCUCUGGGAUGGGGGCGCGUCCCAUCAGGUAGUUGGUGGGGUAACGGCCCACCAAGCCGAUGACGGGUAGCCGGCCUGAGAGGGUGGCCGGCCGCACCGGGACUGAGACACGGCCCGGACCCCUACGGGGGGCAGCAGCCGAGGAUCUUGGGCAAUGCCCGAAAGGGUGACCCAGUGACGCCGCGUGGGGGAAGAAGCCCUUCGGGGUGUAAACCCCUGUUGGCGGGGGAAGAAGCCAACCCUUCGGGGUUGGUUGACGGUACCCCGCAAGAAAGCCCCGGCUAACUCCGUGCCAGCAGCCGCGGUAAAACGGAGGGGGCGAGCGUUGCCCGGAUUUACUGGGCUUAAAGGGUCCGUAGGCGGUGCCCCAAGUCCCUCGUGAAAGCUGCCCGCUCAACGGGCAGAGGUCGGGGGAGACUGGGACACUUGAGGGCGGGAGAGGCCAGCGGAACGGCGGGUGUAGCGGUGAAAUGCGUCGAUAUCCGCCGGAACACCAGUGGCGAAGGCGGCUGGCUGGAACGCCCCUGACGCUGAGGGACGAAGGCCGGGGGAGCGAACCGGAUUAGAUACCCGGGUAGUCCCGGCAGUAAACGUUGGGCGCUAGGUGUGGGGAGCUUCGACCCUCCCCGUGCCGCAGGGAAACCAAUAAGCGCCCCGCCUGGGGAGUACGGGCGCAAGCCUGAAACUCAAACCAAUUGACGGGGGCCCGCACAAGCGGCGGAGCAUGUGGCUUAAUUCGAUGCUACCCGAAGAACCUUACCAGGGCUUGACAUGCUGGCGUAAGCCUGCCCGAAAGGGUGGGGUGGGACGGUUUUCGCCGUCCAGCCAGCACAGGUGGUGCACGGCUGUCGUCAGCUCGUGCCGUGAGGUGUCCGGUUAAGUCCGGCAACGAGCGCAACCCCCGCCGCCAGUUGCCAGCGGGUAAUGCCGGGCACUCUGGCGGGACUGCCCGCGUAAGCGGGAGGAAGGUGGGGAUGACGUCAAGUCCGCGUGCCCCUGAAGUCCUGGGCUGCACACAUGCUACAAUGCCCGCUACAAAGGGUUGCGAACCCGCAAGGGGGAGCGAAUCCCAAAAAAGCGGGCUCAGUUCGGAUCGCAGGCUGCAACUCGCCUGCGUGAAGCCGGAGUCGCUAGUAACCGCCGGUCAGCAAUACGGCGGUGAAUACGUUCCCGGGCCUUGUACACACCGCCCGUCACGCCACGGAAGCCGGCUGCACCUGAAGCCGGUGGGCUAACCGGCUGCCCCUUUGAGCGCCCCGAAAAAAACUCGUCGGGGUGUUGAAAGGGGCAGCCGGAGGCAGCCGUCUAAGGUGUGGUCGGUGACUGGGGCGAAGUCGUAACAAGGUAGCCGUAGCGGAAGCUGCGGCUGGAUCACCUCCUUUCUA
rnacentral:rRNA from 1 species